rnacentral:rRNA from 1 species
UACGGAGGGUGCAAGCGUUAUCCGGAUUCACUGGGUUUAAAGGGUGCGUAGGCGGGUUGGUAAGUCCGUGGUAAAUCUCCGGGCUUAACCCGGAAAACUGCCAUUGAUACUAUCUGUCUUGAAUGUCGUGGAGGUAAGCGGAAAUAUGUCAUGUAGCGGUGAAAAUGCUUUAGAUAUGACAUAGAACACCAAUUUGCGAAAGGCAGCUUUACUACACGAAUAUUGACAC